UAGCCGUAAACGAUACUCGCUAGGUGUCGGCCACGGUGCGACCGUUGUCGGUGCCGUAGGGAAGCCGUGAAGCGAGCCACCUGGGAAGUACGGCCGCAAGGCUGAAACUUAAAGGAAUUGGCGGGGGAGCACCACAACGGGUGGAGCUUGCGGCUUAAUUGGAUUCAACGCCGGAAAUCUUACCGGGACCGACAGCAACAUGAAGGCCAGGCUGAAGACUUUGCCGGAUUAGCUGAGAGGAGGUGCAUGGCGUAGUCGUGU
rnacentral:rRNA from 1 species